rnacentral:rRNA from 1 species
AUUGAACGCUGGCGGCAGGCCUAACACAUGCAAGUCGAACGAGUGGCGGACGGGUGAGUAAUGUCUGGGAAACUGCCUGAUGGAGGGGGAUAACUACUGGAAACGGUAGCUACUACCGCAUACCAUCAGAUGUGGCCAGGUGGGAUUAGCUAGUUGGGGGGGUAACGGCUCACCAAGGCGACGAUCCCUAGCUGGUCUGAGAGGGUGAGCGGCCACACUGGAACUGAGACACGGUCCAGACUCCUACGGGAGGCAGCAGUGGGGAAUAUUGGACAAUGGGCGCAAGCCUGAUGCAGCCAUGCCGCGUGUAUGAAGAAGGCCUUCGGGUUGUAAAGUACUGUCAGCGGGGAGGCGUUACCCGAAGAGGAAGCACCGGCUAACUCCGUGCCAGCAGCCGCGGUAAUUC